UUACAGAGAUUUUUCUUACUCUUGAUAUUGAUACACUGUUUUCAAUCUUGAUACAUCUUUCUUAAAUGUUAUUUUUGUACAUUUCACUUAGAAGAUCCGGACACAUUACAAUGAUUUACAUAUAGAUUCUUCACUAUUGUAGCCCAAGGCACAUUCAAUGGCUCACUCUGGGCCACAUAGUGAAUCAGAAGUGAAUGUUUUAUCUGCAAAAAACUAUUAUUUUUACAUAAGCAAGCGACCUCUUAUAUGUCAGAAAGCAACCUUUAUAGCAAAACAUCACAAAUCUAACAUGACUUUUAAAAUGGAAAGUCAGAACUCACCACACCAAAGUCUUUUAAAUGCCAGAGUUUGAUGUGCAAGACAUUCCAUUAUAAAGGGUUAAAGUAGUCACUGACUGUCAGAAUAAACUGGAACCGCUGCAGCCAUUCAGGAUCAAGUUGACCCAGGCCUCCUUUAAAAGGUCUUUCAAAUUUGAAACACAAGGAGUCUCCUUGCAGAAACAAUGAACAUCAUGAUAUUUACAAAAGCCAGAUAACUAUUAGCACACCAGAGUUAAAUGUGCCAAAUAGUUUUAAGGUGAGCAUUUUCUUUACAUCAUGGAUUUAAAUAAUAUACACUUAAAUAAUAAUAUCUUAUACUACUCCACUUCUUGGAAACUCGUGCCCAGGUAUUCUGAGUAAAUAUUCUCAUAAUUACAUUAUACUGUGUCAUUUAGAUCCAGCAAUAUAUGGUCAAAAUUCUUAGCAAUUUUGAGAAAAAUAUUUCCUCAAUUUUCAAUUGCCUAUAAUAACGGUAACAAUAUUAGGACAAUUUGCUGACCCCCAGAGGUUGAAUAAAAAUUUUUCCAUGUGACAUUAUUGGUUCUACUAAUAACACCGCCUCACCUACAACCUGUGAUGAUUUUUAGUAGAGCAGUUACUCAAUUUGCGUUACAGCUGGCAUGUUUCCAUCUCUGAUUUUAAAAUGCAGUCAUUUUUGUUAGGUGAUUGCCAACUUCAUAUUGCUCCGUCAUAAAAGAGUGUGACUAUGAGAGUGAGUGCUGCUCUGUGAUGGACUGGUGUCUAGUCCGGAGUUGAUUCCUGCCUUGACCUGGAAUACUAAAGCUGUAUGAAUGGAUUUAGAAAAUAGGUGCAUCCGGUUAGCUCAUAGCUCUAGAAGACUGGGUUUCAGUCUCAGGUUGUUCCUGUUAGCAUGGAAAUUUCACAUUCAUCGAUUUACAUCUCCAAGAAGAUGCCCAUUGAGGGAAACUGACUCCGCCUUUUUGGUCGACAAGCUAUAAAAGCAGGGCUCUCCUGGAAGGAGGCGUCUCAUUUGGAGAGAUGAGCCACCCACCCAAUGGAGCUCCAACCCUGAAGCCUGAUGGCUCUCCAGAGACUUUUUACUGCAGACCAUUACUGAGCAUAGCUUUUUGUUCAUUACGGCACCUAGCUCCCCAACAUUUCAUUUGGACUCUUGUGUUUAUAAUGGUUGAUGAAACUCAAUUUUGUAUUGCAUUACUUAUUUAAUUACUUGCCUCAGGUUUGAUUAAUUAAGGGUUAUCAGGUUUUUUGGGUUUGGUUUUCUUACCGUUGCCUUCCCAUGUGGGUUUCCCUCAAUAAACCCUGACACUAACCACUACUAAGUCAACUAAACCCUUUUUGAAGUGUCUGUUUAAAUUAAAGCUAUGCAACAUUUCGUAUCUUUUUUCAGUUGUAACUUUCAUUUACAUAAUCUUGAGCUGAAGGCAGUCAGCUGCACACUCCAGUGAAGAAGUCAUGCAAUUUGAAAUGCCCAGCAGCUCAGUCCAACUCGUCUGUGACUCGCUCUGACAGAUUCAAACAGGUUUCAUUUUUUCUUUAGUCAUCUGCUUGAAUGAAU